GCCGAAUUAGCUCAGUGGUAGAGCAACCGCCUUGUAAGCGGUAGGUCGUCAGUUCGAAUCUGACAUUCGGCA
rnacentral:tRNA from 1 species